rnacentral:lncRNA from 1 species
CAUUUGAAAAGGGAGUUCUGGCAUUUGAAAAGGGAGUUCUGGCAUUUGAAAAGGGAGUUCUGGCAUUUGAAAAGGGAGUUCUGGCAUUUGAAAAGGGAGGUCUGGCAUUUGAAAAGGGAGUUCUGGCAUUUGAAAAUGGAGUUCUGGCAUUUGAAAACCAAGUUCUGGCAUUUGAAAAGGGAGUUCUGGCAUUUGAAAGGGAGUUCUGGCAUUUGAAAAGGGAGUUCUGGCAUUUGAAAAGGGAGGUCUGGCAUUUGAAAAGGGAGUUCUGGCAUUUGAAAAGGGACUUCUGGCAUUUGAAAGGGAGUUCUGGCAUUUGAAAAGGGAGUUCUGGCAUUUGAAAAGGGAGUUCUGGCAUUUGAAAGGGAGUUCUGGCAUUUGAAAAGGGAGUUCUGGCGUUUGAAAAGGGACUUCUGGCAUUUGAAAAGGGACUUCUGGCAUUUGAAAAGGGACUUCUGGCAUUUGAAAAGGGACUUCUGGCAUUUGAAAAGGGAGGUCUGGCAUUUGAAAAGGGAGUUCUGGCAUUUGAAAAUGGAGUUCUGGCAUUUGAAAACCAAGUUCUGGCAUUUGAAAAAGGAGUUCUGGCAUUUGAAAAGGGAGUUCUGGCAUUUGAAAAGGGAGUUCUGGCAUUUGAAAAGGGAGUUCUGGCAUUUGGAAAGGGAGUUCUGGCAUUUGAAAAGGGAGUUCUGGCAUUUGAAAAGGGAG